UACGUAGGGGGCAAGCGUUGUCCGGAAUCAUUGGGCGUAAAGAGCGUGUAGGCGGCCCGAUAAGUCCGCCGUGAAAGUCCAGGGCUCAACCCUGGGAUGCCGGUGGAAACUGUCGGGCUAGAGUCCGGAAGAGGCGAGUGGAAUUCCUGGUGUAGCGGUGAAAUGCGCAGAUAUCAGGAGGAACACCAAUGGCGAAGGCAGCUCGCUGGGACGGUACUGACGCUGAGACGCGAAAGCUAGGGGAGCAAACGGG
rnacentral:rRNA from 1 species